rnacentral:tRNA from 1 species
GCCUGACUUGGUGGCCGGACGGGCGCUGGCCGGCUUCGGGCUGACCGAGCCGGGCGCCGGUUCCGACGCCGGCGGCACGCGC